CAGAGUGAUGAAAAACUGGGGAGGCUACACCAGACUGACCAGAGAAAGACGUAGCAAAGGAUCGCCCAGCACCAUCUGGAA
rfam:Glycine max cultivar Williams 82 chromosome 13, whole genome shotgun sequence.